ACUUUCAUCCCCCCCUCAGUGAUUUAUAAUUUAAGGUGGUCUUAAUGGCUGAACUGUUUACACUUAACUUUGGGAAGGGAUAUUGAACUCUUGGCUGUAAAUUCACCAUAGCAACAGCCGUUGAAACAGAGUAACGUUACAAGCAAAUACCUGGAGAAAGAGAGGAAUAAGGAGCGCCCAAGGAGCAGUAACGGCAUGGACACACUACUGCUCGACAACAUUGCAACACCUGCAAGAAUCGAGGGCCUCAUCGUCACAUUUGAAUCUGUCAAAUGUUAAUUUUUGCAUCAAGUUUUUAUUGUUUUCUCCAAUGUUUUUAAUUCUCUGUAUGUGUAGUUUAUAAUGUAGCAAAACUGUUUCACUUCUUCUUCUGCCUAAACUUUGGCGCGUUACUCCUCCCGCAGCGUUACCAGCACAUGUACAAAAAGUACAUCAAAACAUGCGGAAUGAUCAGGAAUCGUGUGCUAUGACCUGACUAAGAGAUUCGCACAGCGGUUUCCGAGAAAAUCGCGGGAAAGCGUGAUUUUUUUGCUCCAUUGGAAUGCAUUGAAAAUUGACGUGAAGAGUGCUCAAAAUCACUCCUCUUUGGGGCCAUACAGAGUCGCCAUA